GAUGAACGCUGGCGGCGUGCUUAACACAUGCAAGUCGAACGGAAAGGCCCAAGCUUGCUUGGGUACUCGAGUGGCGAACGGGUGAGUAACACGUGGGUGAUCUGCCCUGCACUUCGGGAUAAGCCUGGGAAACUGGGUCUAAUACCGGAUAGGACGAUGGUUUGGAUGCCAUUGUGGAAAGUUUUUUCGGUGUGGGAUGAGCUCGCGGCCUAUCAGCUUGUUGGUGGGGUAAUGGCCUACCAAGGCGUCGACGGGUAGCCGGCCUGAGAGGGUGUACGGCCACAUUGGGACUGAGAUACGGCCCAGACUACUACGGGAGGCAGCAGUGGGGAAUAUUGCACAAUGGGCGCAAGCCUGAUGCAGCGACGCCGCGUGGGGGAUGACGGCCUUCGGGUUGUAAACUCCUUUCGCUAGGGACGAAGCGUUUUUGUGACGGUACCUGGAGAAGAAGCACCGGCUAACUACGUG
rnacentral:rRNA from 1 species